AUGAUUUUGAUCAGCAUCCUCAUCUGGACUCUACUCUGCUUCACCCAGGGGUCUGAUGGACAAAAUAUUGUUGUGACUCAGCCAGCAGCCAAAUCAGUGCAGCUUGGUCAGACUGUCACUAUUGACUGUAAGGCCAGUCAGGCACUUUCAACAUCUCAGUGCGGCUACAGCUCACAGGUCUGCCUGUCCUGGUAUCAACAGAAACCAGGAGAAGCUACUAAAGCUCUGAUCUAUGGAACAUCAUCCAGAUUUUCAGGAAUCUCCUCCAGAUUCACUGGAAGUGGAGCAGGAAAUGGAAUAGACUUCACUCUGACCAUCAGUGGCUUCCAGGCUGAAGAUGCAGGAGUUUAUUACUGUCAGAGUUUUCAUUACAUCAACAGUAAGAAUCUGUUCACACAGUGA